rnacentral:rRNA from 1 species
GUCCACGCCUAACGAUGUCAACUGGUUGUUGGUCUUACUGACUCAGUAACGAAGCUAACGCGUGAAGUUGACCGCCUGGGAGUACGGCCGCAAGGUUGAACUCAAGGAAUUGACGGGACCCGCACAAGCGGUGGAUGAUGUGGUUUAAUUCGAUGCAACGCGAAACCUUACCCACCUUUGACAUGUACGGAACCCUUUAGAGAUAGAGGGUGCUCGAAAGAGAGCCGUAACACAGGUGCUGCAUGGCUGUCGU